AAAAAGAGCCUCACAACAAUCAGAAAAGUCAAUCACUGGAGUCAUAGCAACCACAAAUUAGGCAUCACAACCUUAACCAAACUCUGCUGCUAAAACAUAAAACCAAAGAUACGAAGAACAGAGACACAGAUGAAAGAUAAAUAAGCAAAGCAGAAAGCACAAAAAUUCAGACUAAGACCAACGAAGAAAACUAGGAGGCAAUCGGUGGGACUCUGAAAUCUACUAACAGAUUAUUUGGAUGGGGAGGUUUCGGGGUAAAGUAAAGUAAGGUUUUAG
rnacentral:misc_RNA from 1 species